GAGCACGUAGGUGGGUUUGUAAGCCGGUUGUGAAAGCCUUCCGCUCAACGGGAGAACGGCAGCCGAUACUGCAUAGCUUGAGUGCGGGAGGGGAGAGUGGAACUUCUGGUGGAGCGGUGAAAUGCGUAGAUAUCAGAAGGGACGCCGGCGGCGAAAGCGGCUCUCUGGCCCGUAACUGACGCUGAGUGUGCGAAAGCUAGGGGAGCAAACGGGAUUAGAUACCCCGGUAGUCCUAGCCGUAAACGAUGGGCACUAAGUAGAGGGGUUUU
rnacentral:rRNA from 1 species